UAAUUAUCAAGAGACAGUGAGAGUUCUGGCUCAAUGACCUGUCAGCAACCCUGUUGUAUUCAACAGAAGGUGCUCCAACCAGCCCCGAUCGGGGAAGGAUAUAAUA
rnacentral:ncRNA from 2 species